AUUGCCUCUCGCCCCCACCUAAUAUGGGGAGGUCCCGCCUGCCCUGUGAUUAAAAUUUAACGGCCGCGGUAUUUUGACCCUGCAAAGGUAGCGCAAUCACUUGUCUUUUAAAUGGAGACCUGUAUGAACGGCACAACGAGGGCUUAACUGUCUCCCUAUCCCAGUCAAUGAAAUUGAUCCUCCCGUGCAGAAGCGGGAAUAUAAACAUAAGACGAGAAGACCCUGUGGAGCUUUAGACAAUAUGUAGAGCCUGUAAAGAUACCUUCAAAAGUAUAAAACAAAAGGUUAUUUCUACUUAAAUGUCUUCGGUUGGGGCGACCGCGGGGAAACAUAAAACCCCCAUGUGGAAUGUGGAAUUCUUCUUUAAGCUAAGAACGUCAGUUCCAAGCAACAGAAUGUCUGACCUAAACUGACCCGGCCUUUUGCCGAUCAACGAAACAAGUUACCCCAGGGAUAACAGCGCAAUCCUCUCCCAGAGCCCAUAUCGACGAGAGGGUUUACGACCUCGAUGUUGGAUCAGGACAUCCUAAUGGUGCAGCCGCUAUGAAGGGUUCGUUUGUUCAACGAUUAAAGUCCUACUUGAU
rnacentral:rRNA from 1 species